UCUUCUGCCUCACAAUGCCCCUGACUUUGCUGCCUGGUUCCCCAAGCAAAGACAAGGAAUGUUCAGGUAGUUGUGACAUCCCAGGCUAAAACAGCAGCUUGACUUCAAUCCAUCCAUGGCAGCCAAAAAAAGCUUUUCAACAGAGAGGGUUCAGGCUUCCUUGCCUUUCUCAAACAACAACCUCUUCACAGCCUUGUGCAUUAUCUUUCCUUCUGAAAAGACUUUUGUGCAUGGGGAUGACUCCUGCUGUUCCUGAGGGCUGUGUGGGAGGAUAGGCCAAAGUGACUGACAUCAUCCACCUGGACUUCUGCAGAGUAUUUGACACUGUCCCACACAGCAUUCUUGUCUCCAUGUUGCAGAGGCAUGGAUUCGAUGGAUGGAGCACUUGGUCAACGACACCCCAAAGCCCAUUUAAAUGGGAAAGCAGAAACUGCUAGAGACAUUUUGUCCUCCCUGGCUCAAGGCUGAAGUGCAAUGAUAUGAAGGAUUAAGAUGAGGGAAAAGUCAAGCUCUUAACAGUAUUUUAAAGUCUGGAAAAGCAAAUUAAGAAUUAAUUAUCCAGAUUGAUGAGUCUCACCUUUUACUACAACUCUACAGACUUCUUUACAACAAAAUGGGAUACUUUCAGCACUCCCACCAUCCUAAGUAAUGAUAGGGGUUGUUAGUGGACACUUCCUUACCUCACAUUCAUAUUUGCUUUUAGCAAAUAGGUCAUUCAUGAGAAAGAAGAAGCUUAGUAAUGACACUUUUGAGACAUGUCUGCAUUGCUUUGGAAAGAACUUCAGUCUUACUGACUUCUGAAUUCCUAUACAUUGUGGCUA